UGGGCUUGUAGCUCAGUGGAUUAGAGCACGUGGCUACGAACCACGGUGUCGGGGGUUCAAGUCCCUCCUUGCCCGG
rnacentral:tRNA from 1 species